GACGAACGCUGGCGGCGUGCUUAACACAUGCAAGUCGAACGGAAAGGCCCUGCUUUUGUGGGGUGCUCGAGUGGCGAACGGGUGAGUAACACGUGAGUAACCUGCCCUUGACUUUGGGAUAACUUCAGGAAACUGGGGCUAAUACCGGAUAGGAGCUCCUGCUGCAUGGUGGGGGUUGGAAAGUUUCGGCGGUUGGGGAUGGACUCGCGGCUUAUCAGCUUGUUGGUGGGGUAGUGGCUUACCAAGGCUUUGACGGGUAGCCGGCCUGAGAGGGUGACCGGCCACCUUGGGACUGAGAUACGGCCCAGACUCCUACGGGAGGCAGCAGUGGGGAAUAUUGCACAAUGGGCGGAAGCCUGAUGCAGCAACGCCGCGUGCGGGAUGACGGCCUUCGGGUUGUAAACCGCUUUCGCCUGUGACGAAGCGUGAGUUACGGUGAUGGGUAAAGAAGCACGGGCUAACUACGUG
rnacentral:rRNA from 1 species